CAGCAGCCGCGGGAAUACGGAGGGGGCUAGCGUUGUUCGGAAUUACUGGGCGUAAAGCGCACGUAGGCGGCUUGGUAAGUUAGAGGUGAAAGCCCGGAGCUCAACUCCGGAAUUGCCUUUAAGACUGCCGAGCUAGUAGGUGAGAGAGGUAAGUGGAAUUCUGAGUGUAGAGGUGAAAUUCGUAGAUAUUCGGAAGAACACCAGUGGCGAAGGCGGCUUACUGGCUCAUUCUAGACGCUGAGGUGCGAAAGCGUGGGGAGCAAACGGGAUUAGAUACCCCCGUAGUCCCUGUCUCUUAUAC
rnacentral:rRNA from 1 species